GAUGAACGCUGGCGGCGUGCCUAAUACAUGCAAGUCGAGCGAACAGACGAGGAGCUUGCUCCUCUGACGUUAGCGGCGGACGGGUGAGUAACACGUGGAUAACCUACCUAUAAGACUGGGAUAACUUCGGGAAACCGGAGCUAAUACCGGAUAAUAUAUUUAACCGCAUGGUUCAAUAGUGAAAGACGGAUUUGCUGUCACUUAUAGAUGGAUCCGCGCCGCAUUAGCUAGUUGGUAAGGUAACGGCUUACCAAGGCAAGGAUGCGUAGCCGACCUGAGAGGGUGAUCGGCCACACUGGAACUGAGACACGGUCCAGACUCCUACGGGAGGCAGCAGUAGGGAAUCUUCCGCAAUGGGCGAAAGCCUGACGGAGCAACGCCGCGUGAGUGAUGAAGGUCUUCGGAUCGUAAAACUCUGUUAUUAGGGAAGAACAAAUGUGUAAGUAACUAUGCACGUCUUGACGGUACCUAAUCAGAAAGCCACGGCUAACUACGUG
rnacentral:rRNA from 1 species